GUGGGGAAUAUUGGGCAAUGGGCGAAAGCCUGACCCAGCAACGCCGCGUGAAGGAAGAAGGUCUUCGGAUCGUAAACUUCUAUCCUUGGUGAAGAUAAUGACGGUAGCCGAGAAGGAAGCCCCGGCUAACUACGUGCCAGCAGCCUCGGUAAUACGUAGGGGGCAAGCGUUGUCCGGAAUGAUUGGGCGUAAAGGGCGCGUAGGCGGCCUGGUAAGUCUGGAGUGAAAGUCCUGCUUUUAAGGUGGGAAUUGCUUUGGAUACUGUCGGGCUUGAGUGCAGGAGAGGUAAGUGGAAUUCCCGGUGUAGCGGUGAAAUGCGUAGAGAUCGGGAGGAACACCAGUGGCGAAGGCGAUUCUCUGGUCUGUCUCUGACGCUGAGGAGCGAAAGCGUGGGUAGCGAACGGGAUUAGAAACCCGUGUAGUCC
rnacentral:rRNA from 1 species